GCUGUUGGCGUGCUUAACACAUGCAAGUCGAACGGAAAGGCCCUGCUUUUGUGGGGUGCUCGAGUGGCGAACGGGUGAGUAACACGUGAGUAACCUGCCCUUGACUUUGGGAUAACUUCAGGAAACUGGGGCUAAUACCGGAUAGGAGCUCCUGCUGCAUGGUGGGGGUUGGAAAGUUUCGGCGGUUGGGGAUGGACUCGCGGCCUAUCAGCUUGUUGGCGGGGUAGUGGCUUACCAAGGCUUUGACGGGUAGCCGGCCUGAGAGGGUGACCGGCCACAUUGGGACUGAGAUACGGCCCAGACUCCUACGGGAGGCAGCAGUGGGGAAUAUUGCACAAUGGGCGGAAGCCUGAUGCAGCAACGCCGCGUGCGGGAUAACGGCCUUCGGGUUGUAAACCGCUUUUGCCUGUGACGAAGCGUGAGUGACGGUAAUGGGUAAAGAAGCACCGGCUAACUACGUGCCAGCAGCCGCGGUGAUACGUAGGGUGCGAGCGUUGUCCGGAUUUAUUGGGCGUAAAGGGCUCGUAGGUGGUUGAUCGCGUCGGAAGUGUAAUCUUGGGGCUUAACCCUGAGCGUGCUUUCGAUACGGGUUGACUUGAGGAAGGUAGGGGAGAAUGGAAUUCCUGGUGGAGCGGUGGAAUGCGCAGAUAUCAGGAGGAACACCAGUGGCGAAGGCGGUUCUCUGGGCCUUUCCUGACGCUGAGGAGCGAAAGCGUGGGGAGCGAACAGGCUUAGAUACCCUGGUAGUCCACGCUGUAAACGGUGGGUACUAGGUGUGGGGUCCAUUCCACGGGUUCCGUGCCGUAGCUAACGCUUUAAGUACCCCGCCUGGGGAGUACGGCCGCAAGGCUAAAACUCAAAGGAAUUGACGGGGCCCCGCACAAGCGGCGGAGCAUGCGGAUUAAUUCGAUGCAACGCGUAGAACCUUACCUGGGUUUGACAUGGAUCGGGAGUGCUCAGAGAUGGGUGUGCCUCUUUUGGGGUCGGUUCACAGGUGGUGCAUGGCUGUCGUCAGCUCGUGUCGUGAGAUGUUGGGUUAAGUCCCGCAACGAGCGCAACCCUUGUUCACUGUUGCCAGCACGUUAUGGUGGGGACUCAGUGGAGACCGCCGGGGUCAACUCGGAGGAAGGUGGGGAUGACGUCAAGUCAUCAUGCCCCUUAUGUCCAGGGCUUCACGCAUGCUACAAUGGCUGGUACAGAGAGUGGCGAGCCUGUGAGGGUGAGCGAAUCUCGGAAAGCCGGUCUCAGUUCGGAUUGGGGUCUGCAACUCGACCUCAUGAAGUCGGAGUCGCUAGUAAUCGCAGAUCAGCAACGCUGCGGUGAAUACGUUCCCGGGGCUUGUACACACCGCCCGUCAAGUCAUGAAAGUUGGUAACACCCGAAGCCGGUGGCCUAACCGUUGUGGGGGAGCCGUCGAAGGUGGGACUGGUGAUUAG
rnacentral:rRNA from 1 species